rnacentral:rRNA from 1 species
GUGAGGAAUCUUGCACAAUGGGGGAAACCCUGAUGCAGCGACGCCGCGUGGGGGAAGACGGUCUUCGGAUUGUAAACCCCUUUUGUUCGGGACGAACAUUGACGGUACCGAACGAAUAAGGACUGGCUAACCAUGUGCCAGCAGCCGCGGUAAUACAUGGAGUCCAAGCGUUAUCCGGAUUUACUGGGCGUAAAGAGCGCGUAGGCGGUCUUCUAUGUCAGGUGUGAAAGCCCGGGGCUCAACCCCGGAAGUGCACUUGAAACUGGGAGACUUGAGUAUGGGAGAGGGAAGUGGAAUUCCUGGUGUAGCGGUGAAAUGCGUAGAUAUCAGGAGGAACACCGGUGGCGAAGGCGACUUCCUGGACCAAUACUGACGCUGAGGCGCGAAGGCGUGGGGAGCAAACAGGAUUAGAAACCCGAGUAGUCC